rnacentral:rRNA from 1 species
AGUGAACGCUGGCGGUAGGCCUAACACAUGCAAGUCGAACGGCAGCACAGGAGAGCUGCUCUCUGGGUGGCGAGUGGCGGACGGGUGAGGAAUGCAUCGGAAUCUACUCUUCGUGGGGGAUAACGUAGGGAAGCUUACGCUAAUACCGCAUACGACCUACGGGUGAAAGCCGGGGACCUUCGGGCCUGGCGCGAAAGAAUGAGCCGAUGCCCGAUUAGCUAGUUGGCGGGGUAAGAGCCCACCAAGGCGACGAUCGGUGGCUGGUCUGAGAGGAUGAUCAGCCACACUGGAACUGAGACACGGUCCAGACUCCUACGGGAGGCAGCAGUGGGGAAUAUUGGACAAUGGGCGCAAGCCUGAUCCAGCCAUACCGCGUGGGUGAAGAAGGCCUUCGGGUUGUAAAGCCCUUUUGUUGGGAAAGAAAAGCAGUCGGUUAAUACCCGAUGUUCUGACGGUACCCAAGAAUAAGCACCG